UACGGAGGGGGCUAGCGUUGUUCGGAAUUACUGGGCGUAAAGCGCACGUAGGCGGCUUUGCAAGUUAGAGGUGAAAGCCCGGGGCUCAACUCCGGAAUUGCCUUUAAAACUGCAUCGCUAGAAUUGUGGAGAGGUAAGUGGAAUUCCGAGUGUAGAGGUGAAAUUCGUAGAUAUUCGGAAGAACACCAGUGGCGAAGGCGACUUACUGGACACAUAUUGACGCUGAGGUACGAAAGUAUGGGGAGCAAACAGG
rnacentral:rRNA from 1 species